GUCGAGACUUACGUUCCGGGGCACCUCGUCGAAAUGCGCGCCCCCGCUCGCCGAGCUCCGGCUGCCGCGUCGCUUAAGUGUCUUUCAUUAUUCCCUAAGCAACGCUGAUGAUACUGAGGGAAAGGAUUACACGUCAGGCUUCAAAAUGCUAACCUUAUAUGGUCUCAAAGGGGACAUUUUUAAAGACGACGUCAUUACAGAUGUCAGCAUCUUGGUCUAGCACCGAAGAAUGGUCUGGAAUGCUAAGCCUCGGUGAGGUCACGGGGGCGGGGUCAAGGACGUUUCUUCCGGGUCUGGCUGUGAAAGCUGGCACACAUCCAGAUAUUGCAUGGAUUUCAAAAAUGUUCUUUAUUUUCUCUUCUUUUUUAA